rnacentral:miRNA from 1 species
CAUGCAAUCCAUUCAGUGUUGC